rnacentral:rRNA from 1 species
CCUAACGGCUGAACCAGCAACUUGGAGGAAUGUAUGGCGAAAGCUGGUUGCAUCUAAAAAGGUGCAAGAUUGAUUCGAUCGAAUAAAGUUCUAGAUAGGUUAUGAUGAUGACAUUUCCUGUCUAUGUGUCUUGACUAAAUUACGUGCCAGCAGUCGCGGUAAUACGUAGAAGACUAGUGUUAUUCAUCUUUAAUAGGUUUAAAGGGUACCUAGACGGUAAAUCAAGUCCAAAAAGGGUACUAAUUUGCUAGAGUUUAAUGUGAGGGGGCACUAAAGUACUGAUAAAGUGUAGAGAUGAAAUUCUGUGAUACAAUAUAAGGACAGGUAAAGGCGAAAGCAUCUCAUUAUGUAAUAACUGACGUUGAGGGACGAAGGCUAGGAGAAGCAAAAAGGAUUAGAUACCCAAGUAGUCUUAGCAGAAAAUUAUGAAUGUCAUAGGAUGGAGAUAGUUGAUAACAAUUUUUUUUCUAUAAAUGAAAGUGUAAGCAUUCCACCUCGAGAGUAAUUUGGCAACAUUGGAACUGAAAUCAUUAGACCGUUUCUGAAACAAGUAGUGAAGUAUGUUGUUUAAUUUGAUGGUCCGCAAAAAACCUUACCACAAUUUGAAUAGAAAUUUUUAUUUUAUACAAGCGCUGCA